rnacentral:lncRNA from 1 species
UGUUAAGAGUGAAACAUGUUGGACCCUAUGUGUUUUGAAGUAGACCAACCGUUAUCUCAUCUUGAAUGAUCUUGGUGAGUUCAUUUGAUCUCAUGGUGACUGACCUCGAGGUCGAGGUCAUGGAAAGUCGACCCAAGGUUCUAACACCACCGUGGUUAGGAGCGAUAUUCACAGCUCGAGCAUCUGCCAUGAAAUUGACCUCAAGUGUUAGCAUUGGGAUGUGGAUUUUGUUGACUUAACAAUUGAGUAAGAGUAGCUACUUGUUGGCGGAGCUCUUCGAAUACUCCUGGAAUGACAACUACAAGUUCGGGUGGUGGUACCUUCGGCAGCACCACUGGAGGGAUUAAAGGAUCCUCGGAAGGAGCUGAAGUGAAGUCGUUGAACUUGCUGGAUGAGGCCCUGAACGUUUAUAUCGUUUUCCAUUGAUGACGCCAAUGAUGCUACAAAAUAUUUGCACCUAUAAAAUCUCGUGUUUGAAGACCAAGAAUGAGCACGAGAAGGAUCUCCAAUACCUAAAAAAAACGUUGAGAUGUAUUCUUGUCACCCCUCCAGCACUUAGGUUAGCGAUAAGGGAAUUCAUG